rnacentral:rRNA from 1 species
AUGAACGCUGGCGGCGUGCUUAACACAUGCAAGUCGAACGGAACUACUCCAAUGAGAGUCUUCGGAAAGGAUUUGGCUUAGUUUAGUGGCGGACGGGUGAGUAACGCGUGGGUAACCUGCCCUAUACAGGGGGAUAACAGUUGGAAACGACUGUUAAUACCGCAUAAGCGCACAGGAGCGCAUGCUCCGGUGUGAAAAACUCCGGUGGUAUAGGAUGGACCCGCGUCUGAUUAGCUGGUUGGCGGGGUAACGGCCCACCAAGGCGACGAUCAGUAGCCGGCCUGAGAGGGUGAACGGCCACAUUGGGACUGAGACACGGCCCAAACUCCUACGGGAGGCAGCAGUGGGGAAUAUUGCACAAUGGGGGAAACCCUGAUGCAGCGACGCCGCGUGAGCGAAGAAGUAUCUCGGUAUGUAAAGCUCUAUCAGCAGGGAAGAAAAUGACGGUACCUGACUAAGAAGCCCCGGCUAACUACGUG